rnacentral:lncRNA from 1 species
CUUCCCAAAUGGAAAAUGAGGGUGUAGAUUUCAUUGCCCAUUACUGCCCACUUCUCCUGAUCUACCUUUGAUGAUACCAGAGUGGAUUACAUUAUUUGGACUGUGGAAACUCCCAGAGACAGCAUGGAACAACUUGCCUUGUGCACUCCUUGCAGAAAGAGGAGGAUUCCCCUGUUAUUGAUAAGAGAUAAGAGAUGUGGAGGGAGGAGCCAAGAUGGCCGAAUAGGAACAGCUCCGG